ACCAACUCUAUUGCGCUGCGCACUGCCGUGCGUUUAACCCAGGCGAGGAGGAGGAGGAGAAAAUUCCCCCAGAUCCGGGCAGGUCUGUCUGCCUUUUUGGCCCUGCACAGCUACAAGCUUGGUGGAAAAGGGCAAACUGCUCCUGCUCCCAGCAGGUCCUGCUUGGCUUGGAGUCUCUGCAGAACUUGCGAGCCUGAGCUGAAGUGCCUUGCCCUGACGUGUACACAUCCCGCUUGGGCAAGUCAGUUCCACGCCUGAUCAG
rnacentral:lncRNA from 1 species